rnacentral:rRNA from 1 species
UACGAAGGGGGCUAGCGUUGUUCGGAAUUACUGGGCGUAAAGCGUGCGCAGGCGGCUUCUCAAGUCAGGGGUGAAAGCCCAGAGCUUAACUCUGGAAUUGCCUUUGAGACUGAGAGGCUUGAGUACGGGAGAGGUGAGUGGAAUUCCCAGUGUAGAGGUGAAAUUCGUAGAUAUCAGGAGGAACACCUGUGGUGUAGACGGCUUUCUGGACCAUCACUGACGCUGAGACACGAAAGCGUGGGUAGCAAACAGG